UUUCUGCAGAGGCGGCUGCCAUUGGCCCCAAGAGUUCGCUGUCGAAAGUGCCAGCCCCCGCGCCGGCGUCGGGAGCAGCCGGGUGGGAAGGUUCAAAAUGGCGUGCCUAUUGGAGACCCCCAUCCGUAUGAGCGUCCUCUCGGAAGUAACAGCUAGCAGUCGCCACUAUGUUGACAGGCUAUUUGACCCUGAUCCCCAGAAAGUUCUACAAGGUGUCAUAGACAUGAAAAAUGCCGUAAUUGGAAACAACAAGCAGAAAGCCAACCUCAUUGUUUUAGGAGCUGUUCCAAGGUUGUUGUACUUGCUUCAGCAAGAAGCCUCAAGCACAGAGCUGAAAGCUGAAUGUGCAGUGGUAUUGGGAAGUCUUGCUAUGGGUACUGAAAACAAUGUUAAGUCUCUACUAGACUGUCAUAUUAUCCCUUCCUUACUGCAAGGACUACUGUCCCCAGACCUGAAGUUCAUUGAAGCUUGCCUCCGAUGCUUACGCACCGUCUUCACCAGUCCUGUCACUCCUGAGGAGCUACUGUACACGGAUGCCACAGUGAUACCACACCUCAUGGUGCUGCUUAGCAGGUCUCGCUACACACAGGAGUACAUCUGUCAGAUCUUCUCACACUGCUGUAAGGGGCCAGAUCAUCAAACAAUUUUAUUUAACCAUGGUGCAGUUCAGAAUAUUGCUCACCUACUAACCUCAGUGUCCUACAAAGUUCGAAUGCAAGCACUGAAAUGCUUCUCAGUUUUAGCUUUUGAAAACCCCCAGGUAUCGAUGACCCUGGUAAAUGUUUUGGUUGAUGGAGAAUUGUUACCCCAGAUUUUUGUGAAGAUGUUACAGAGGGAUAAGCCUAUUGAGAUGCAGCUCACAUCAGCAAAAUGUUUAACUUACAUGUGUAGAGCUGGUGCAAUUCGGACAGAUGACAGCUGUAUUGUAUUAAAGACAUUGCCUUGUUUGGUUCGAAUGUGCAGUAAGGAGAGAUUACUGGAGGAGAGAGUUGAAGGAGCUGAGACACUCGCCUAUCUGAUUGAACCAGAUGUUGAGCUACAGAGGAUUGCUAGCAUAACUGAUCACCUCAUCGCCAUGCUUGCUGAUUAUUUCAAAUAUCCCAGCUCAGUGAGUGCCAUCACUGAUAUUAAAAGGCUUGAUCAUGACUUAAAACAUGCUCAUGAACUCCGCCAGGCUGCAUUCAAGCUCUAUGCCUCUCUAGGAGCAAAUGAUGAAGACAUCCGGAAGAAGAUCAUUGAGACUGAAAAUAUGAUGGACCGAAUUGUGACUGGCUUGUCUGAGUCUAGUGUCAAGGUGCGGUUAGCUGCUGUCAGAUGUUUGCACAGUUUAUCCAGAUCCGUGCAGCAGCUUCGAACCAGCUUCCAGGAUCACGCUGUAUGGAAACCUUUAAUGAAGGUUUUACAAAAUGCACCAGAUGAAAUCCUAGUAGUAGCAUCUUCCAUGCUAUGUAAUCUGCUUCUUGAAUUUUCUCCAAGCAAAGAGCCGAUUUUAGAAUCAGGAGCCGUAGAGCUACUUUGUGGAUUAACCCAGAGUGAAAAUCCCGCUUUACGAGUGAAUGGAAUUUGGGCUUUAAUGAAUAUGGCAUUUCAGGCUGAACAAAAAAUAAAAGCUGAUAUUUUACGAAGCUUGAGUACUGAACAGCUAUUCCGGUUAUUAUCAGAUUCAGAUUUGAAUGUGCUAAUGAAGACAUUGGGACUUCUUCGGAAUCUCCUCUCUACUCGUCCUCAUAUAGAUAAAAUAAUGAGUACUCAUGGAAAACAAAUUAUGCAAGCUGUCACCCUUAUUCUGGAAGGGGAACAUAACAUAGAGGUCAAAGAGCAGACACUGUGCAUCCUGGCCAACAUAGCGGAUGGGACAACGGCAAAAGAACUUAUUAUGACCAAUGAUGACAUACUGCAGAAAAUCAAGUAUUACAUGGGUCAUUCACAUGUGAAACUGCAGCUUGCCGCGAUGUUUUGUAUAUCAAACCUCAUAUGGAAUGAAGAGGAAGGUUCACAAGAACGUCAGGAUAAAUUACGAGACAUGGGCAUCGUAGAUAUUCUACAUAAACUGAGUCAGUCACCAGAUUCAAACCUUUGUGACAACUCCUUAGAACCCUCAGUGUCCUCUCCCACGUCCUGCAUGACUAGGCAAAAUCUACACGGCAGUAGGAGAAAGUAAGAGUUCCAGGUCCAUCACAACUGUACACCAGUGACCCAGGAAAACUGUAAAAUGUCAGAGCAUACAAGAGAUGAAGUGUCUGCUGACCAUGGAUCUCUGCCCCUUAAAGGCAAAGACGGCACUGCAGCAGUACCUGGCGUGAUGGGAGGCACCCCCGGGCACCUGCGAGCACCCCGCAUCCUUGUUAAGGAAGUACAGGAACUAGCCUCAUUUGAUUCUUUCUAUUUGCACAAGUCACCUUGGACUGCAGGGAGCUGUUUUGAAAAAGCAGUUUAGUAGGCUUAGAUCUCAAAUUCAUCUCGAGAACACUUUUUUUGAGGUAGUAAUUUCCUCAGAGGACUAUUGUGUUUUUUGUUUGUUUGUUUGUUUUUCUGAGCUACCUGGACUCUUUAUUAGAACAAUCAGUCAUCAUUUUCCUUUGGACCUACAAUUUUUUGCCUAUGCUGCAGCCACUUUGUGAAUGAGAAUGUAUGUGUCUGUGUGCACACACAGGCGUGUGUGUACUGAUGUGUCUGUGCACCUGGGUCAGCAUGGAUGUGUGUGUGUGUGUGUAUGUGUGUGUGUGUGUGUGCGUGUGUGUGAGGGAUACCUCAGAAUUUUGUUCUUAUUUUUUGUGAAAAUCUCUUUUCUACAGAUUUUCCAGGGUUUAAGCAUUGCUUGCUGUAUAAAAACUUUACUGAAUUAUAUACAGUUUGAAUGAAAUGUUAUUUUAAAAACAAAAUAAUUGUUAAGUGUUCCAUAAAGGUUAUGUUAAAUUUUGGUCAGAUGAAUAUUUGUAAGUAAAAAAAUAUAUGCAUUUCCGAACCUCAACUUACAUAGAUUUUCUUUAUAAAAAAAAAAAAAAAGAAAAAGUUGGCUAUAGUUGGCCUGAAUAACAGGCACUAUAUAUGGUGCUGUGCAAAACAGUGAGCUAGCAUCUUACUGCCGUCAAUAUUAACAGGUACAGAGCCUUUUUUCAGCUUAAGUCAAUAAGUUCUCAGGCUUCCAAGACAGAUAGACAGGGUGGAGUGGAGUGAGACAACAGAUUCACUGUAGGAUUUUUGAAACCUCUAAGGGAAGUAUAACUACUGAUAGUGAGAGGCCAGCCAUGGCUGUGGUGGGCGGCCCGUGCUAGGACCUGGGACCUAGAGCCCUCCCAUUGCCCGAGAUCCUGUCAGUGGUAUGACAGUAUCCAGCAAGAUUAACAGGCAGUCAUGGAACUUUAAUCUCAAAGUGAAGUAGGUCAUCACUUCCUGAAAAGAAAGGUCACCUAUGCUUCCUGAACAGCAUCUAUCACUAUGAAACUAAAGAAUGUUCUACAGAACCCUCUGUAGAAACAAGCAAAGAACAGGAUAGGAAAGCUGUCUUUCUCUCAGCUGUGCUCAGCAAACUCCAUACUAGUUGCUCAGGACUGAUGUUCAGUAUGUUUUCGUAAAAUGAAGUCAAAAUUUUAGUAAAAGAUACAGCUAAGAACUUUUCCUGCAUGAAGAUAGAAGCACUCAAGUUGAGAGAAGGAAAGGGAAUCUUCCCAAGAUGACCAAAGAUAAAUGACCGAAGAUGACUUCUUUUUACAGCCAAGUACUGCUUAGCCCUCUGCAGCCCUUAGCUUGGUACCUGCUGCUUUCUGGGUCAGCUUCAAGGCAGAACUCAAUAGAAGUUUCUGUUGUCUGUUUGAAGGUAGAACCAGCUUUCCUUUUCCCUUUGCUAAAAGAAGGUCAAAGGCACUGCGUUCAGGAAGCAAGGUCUGUGACCCAGGCUCACAGUGAGUUUGAGCCAGUUGAGGGGGGGUGCCCAGACCCAUCUGCCACUCCUGAUGGGGUUGCUUACAUCUUGGCUGCCCUGUCACCAACCUGCAUCUUCCUUGAAAGAGUUGAAAUACGUUUGGUUGCAAAGGAAUUUUUUAAAAAUGUAUUUAGUGCAGUUUUUCCUGAUCUCAACAUGACCUCCCAAGAUUCAAACACAGAUUUCCAAGUUGUUAUUUUUUCAGAACAUCACUGAUUUAAAAGUCUGUCAAAACAGGGACUUGGGCUUUGUGCAGACAUCAGAGUGCUAGUGUGGGAAUGCCAGCUUAACAAAAACUUAGCUUAUUGGAAAUAAAGCCUUACUUAUGCCCAUGCACUGUAGUUUCUAAUACUGAGAAAAUAUCCUGGGUUAGAAUUUAUAGCAUAAAACACUGUAGAGUUGGUAUUAAAAGUACCAAGUAAAUAUAAAGAAACCAAUUACAAAUUGCUGAGACAAUCUUGAGCCCAAAUAGCAUCAGAAAGCUGAAAGCCCAAUGAAAUAACACUUUGACAUUAAAGCUCUGUGGAUAAAUCUUGCCUGUGGGCAUAAACAGAUGGUCAAACAAAAAAUGCUCUAUUAUAAUUAACUUUUUUUCUGAUUUAAAUGAAGGAAAAUGUAUUUAUUAAAACAAAGCUGUUUUGCUGCUUCAUGCAGGUGUAGUGUUCAGUCAGCAAGGAAGUGGGAAGAGUGGGAUGUGAUCUUGUAUCAACACCCAAGUUCUUAACUAAGCUUCUCGCUCUCUCUAAUGCUGCAUUCUGUUUAUCUUUUUGUGCCCUGAUUGUAACCCAGAAUUUAUGAACUAGAAAAGAAUGUCCAGUUUAAUAAGUUGCUUUUAUUUUUUUUCUUAAGCACUUUAUUUAGAACAUUACAUGUUCUUCUCUUAGUGUUUGGAUAAUAUGAUUUUAACACAUACUAAUAAAAGCCAAGA